UGUGAUUCCGCCGGAAGAGCGGCCGUGCGUGGUAUUAGCUUGUUGGUGAGGUAACGGCUCACCAAGGCUGAGAUGCCUAGGGGGUGUGAGAGCAUGGCCCCCACCACUGGGACUGAGACACUGCCCAGACACCUACGGGUGGCUGGCAGUCGAGAAUCCUUUGGCAAUGCACGCAAGUGUGGACCAAGCGACGCCGGAGUGCUGGAUGAAGGCCUUCGGGUUGUAAACAGCUGUCAGAGGGGGAUGAAAUUUGUUGGGGGGCUAAUCCCCCUUCAUUGACAAAGUCCUCAGAGGAAGCGCGGGCUAAGUUCGUGCCAGCAGCCGCGGUAA
rnacentral:rRNA from 1 species